rnacentral:rRNA from 1 species
GUGGAUUAGAUACCCUGGUAGUCCUGGCAGUAAACGGUGCGCGUUUGGUGUGGGGGGAUUCGACAAUCUCCGCGCCGGAGCUAACGCGUUAAACGCGCCGCCUGGGAAAUACGGUCGCAAGAUUAAAACUCAAAGAAAUUGACGGGGGCCCGCACAAGCGGUGGAGUAUGUGGCUUAAUUCGAUGCAACGCGAGGAACCUUACCUGGGCUUGACAUGCAUCGCUAAGGCGGUGAAAGCCGCCGAGUCCCGCAAGGGAUACUUUGCACAGGUGCUGCACGGUUGUCGCCAGCU